rnacentral:rRNA from 1 species
UGGGGAAUCUUGCACAAUGGGGGCAACCCUGAUGCAGCGACGCCGCGUGAGCGAUGAAGCCCUUCGGGGCGUAAAGCUCUUUCGACCGGAACGAUAAUGACGGUACCGGGAGAAGAAGCUGCGGCUAACUACGUGCCAGCAGCCGCGGUAAUACGUAGGCAGCAAGCGUUGUUCGGAGUUACUGGGCGUAAAGAGUGCGUAGGCGGUUUUCUAAGUUCGGUGUGAAAUCUCCCGGCUUAACUGGGAGGGUGCGCCGAAGACUGGGAGGCUGGAGUGUGGGAAAGGCCGGCGGAAUUCCUGGUGUCGCGGUGAAAUGCGUAGAUAUCAGGAGGAACGCCGGCGGUGUAGACGGCUUGCUAGACCAUAACGGACGCUGAGGCACGAAAGCGUGGGUAGCAAACA